rnacentral:rRNA from 1 species
GAUGAACGCUGGCGGCGUGCUUAACACAUGCAAGUCGAACGGAAAGGCCAGUGCUUGCACUGGUACUCGAGUGGCGAACGGGUGAGUAACACGUGGGUGAUCUGCCCUGCACUUCGGGAUAAGCCUGGGAAACUGGGUCUAAUACCGGAUAGGACAAUGGUUUGGAUGCCGUUGUGGAAAGUUUUUUCGGUGUGGGAUGAGCUCGCGGCCUAUCAGCUUGUUGGUGGGGUAAUGGCCUACCAAGGCGUCGACGGGUAGCCGGCCUGAGAGGGUGUACGGCCACAUUGGGACUGAGAUACGGCUCAGACUCCUACGGGAGGCAGCAGUGGGGAAUAUUGCACAAUGGGCGCAAGCCUGAUGCAGCGACGCCGCGUGGGGGAUGACAGCCUUCGGGUUGUAAACUCCUUUCGCUAGGGACGAAGCGUAUUUGUGACGGUACCUGGAGAAGAAGCACCGGCUAACUACGUG